UCAGGGCAAAUCUUCCUUAGCAAAGAAAAAAAAAGAUAUUAAAGUGGGGAGAAAAAUAGAAAGAGGUUAAAGCUCAAAUGAAUUGAGUUACACCUGAUGCAUCUCAGCCAGCAGUUUUCUGAGAUGAUCUCAUCCAAACAGCCAGAAAGCCAGGUCCACUUGAGAGGAGAGGAACAAGCUUAGGUAGGACAUUUGUGCCAGGGCUCUUUCAAGUGUGUAAUUCAAAGUGUGGGCCUUUCAUCACUAGCAUCAGCAACACCUAGGGGCUCUUAGAAAUGUAGACUCUUGGGCCCAUUCCAGACAUACUAAAUCAGAGCCUGCAUUUAACAACAUUCCAGAUGUUUCAUAUACAUGUUAAAGUUUGGGAAACUCCUGACUCAAACUACACAAUGAUCUAGAAGGUAGGUUUUACUUUCAUUUACAGAUAAGAAUACAGACUCAGAGAAGUAAGAAACUUGCUCACAUUCACACUGAGCUCGGAUUCAAAUACUGGGCCAUCUGAUUCUAAAGGCCUCAUAAUUUUCACUAAAAAUCACUUCGGGCACUUUCAUGGGAAGGGGUUCAUUGGAUGGCUUGGCAAUCAGGGCAAGGAUUAGAAGCAUAUGAGAAGGUGAGGGGAGUAGAUAAGCAGGAACCAGCACCACGAUAUGUAGUAUUAUUUUUUCAAUUGACUUUUAUUUUUUUUCUGCUCAUAAAAGUAAUAUAUGCAUAUGAUAGAAAAUUGGAACAUACCAAUAACUAUAAAGAAGAAAACUAAAACCACCCGUAAUCCUACAACCCAGAGAUGACCAUUGUUAAAUGGUUUAAUUUAAGGAGUUUGAAGAUUGUCGCCUGCUCAAAAGUACAUCCUGGUUUGGCCUGCUUAGGGGCUGGAAAUCCUCAGUCUUUUGUGUUAAAUUUCAUUAAAUUCAGCAAAUGGUUGAGUUCAGGCUUUGUGGCAAAUGUAAGUACUGGAACAAUGAAGAGGAAGAAGAUGCCAGGCCCUGCCCACCAGGAGAGUCCAGUCUGGAAUUAAAAUCAGCUUAAUAAUUCAUGUAUUAGCAACUACCUACAGUGCUCAAGCUGAUUGACUUGUCAAAUUUGAGAGCCAUUACCUAAAAGGCAGCAGGCCCAAAGGAAAUGGAACAGAGAGAGGGAGUUGUUUUUUUUAUUAAUAGUUACUAAGUCAGACACUAUACAUGGGAGGAAAAAAAAUGCUCAGAAGAUGCAUAUAAGGUAGGUGUUAUUAUCGCUAUGUGAGAGAGAGUACAUGAGAAGAGUACAGUUGAGAGAGUUGAAUUAUCUGGUUGGUGGGGAAGCUGCCUCCCAGGCUUGUGUGUAUCAGUUGCCAAUGUUUUUAUUGGGAAAAUCAUACGAACGUGGUGUAAAAAACGUCAAGCAGUACAAAACUAUAAAAUCCUAACUUCUCUCACAUCCUCUUCCCAGAAGUAACCUCAGUGUUUAAAGUAGUUUUUAUUUUACAAGCCCAACACGUGUAUGUAUUCCCCUUGUAAAAAUGCAAACAGAGGUCUACUGAGUGAAAGUGAAAGUUCCCCCUGUGUCUCCUCCCCUCUGAAACCAUGGUUAAGGUUUGCUGCCUAAUAUCCACGGAUAUAUUUUGUAUGUAGUUUGGAAGGUGAAGAAGUUUAAAAUUAUAACUACAAGACUCUUGCUGUAAGCCCCGCUUCCCACUUUCCAGCUUGCUUACUUGCCUCUGGCCAUUUAGUGUGUGUGGUCCUCUCUGGCUAUCCCUCUGCUAUUUGGACAGGUAUCAGAGCCUAUGCUCUCUGCUCUGAUGUCUUGAACCUUUCUAAACUCUUCUCCUAAAAGAGGACUUCAAAGAAUUGUUUAGUUAAGAGUCAGACAUUUAAAAAAAAAUAAACAGCCCAGAAACGUGAGGGAUGUAUACAUAAGAGCCACCCAUACACAUACAGGAGGAGCAGUCAAGUUACAAAAGAGGUAGCCAGUAAAUAGAAGGUUGGUAAGUUAGUGAUACAUUUUUUUUUAUUUCGUUAUUUAUUAUCAUCAUUGUUAUUAUUACUGUAGAUCAACUUGCCACAAAUGAGUUUGCUAAAAUACUAUUUGUAUUUAUUGUUAGCCAAAAAUCUAUUUAUCUAAUGACCACUGACAGCAAAACCUGAGGUGGGACUGCCCCCUCUGUCUACCCAGUGCCCUGAGGGUGUGAGUGAGUGACGUGGGCUCCACCAUCUACCCCCGAAGCCAGGCCAUGACAGGUGGGAGGUGGCUCAGUGAGCAUACACUCAGAGUUUAGUGAGCGGAAGGGGAGGUUCCACAAAAUUGGGAUCAUUCCAUACAUAUUUACUGAACUUGCUUAUUUUCAUUUAAAAAUAUAUUGUGGAUAUUUUCCAUGUCAUUGUAUACAGAACUAGCUCCUUAUUAUGAAGAAUUUUAGACUUUUCUCCAUAUCACGCCCUGUAGUAGGAAGAAUAAUGCCCACCCCCCACAAAGAUCUUCAUGUCCCAAUUCCUGGAUCCUGGGAGUGUAUUACCAUACGUGGCAUGAAGGUCCUUACAGGUGUGGUUAAGGUUAAGGACCUUGAGACGAGGGGAUCGUCAAGGAUUAUUUGGGUAGGCCCAGUAUAACCACAUGGGGUGUUAAAAGAGGAGGACUUUUCCUGACGGUGGUCCAAGGGAGACGUGGCCACAGAAGAACGGUCAGAGAGAUGCAACAUGCUGGCUUUAAAGAUGCAAGAAGAGGCCAUAAGUCAAGGAAUGUGGCUGACUCCAGAAGCUGGAAAAGGAUUGAAAAAUUUUCAAAAUAAAACGUUAGGAGGAAGGGGGUCCUGAAGGGGCAGAGGCCGAGAAGGGUUCAGAAAGUGACUGUCCCAGAGCCCUCCCUUUCUUGGACUAUGCUCCCAGCCCUGAGGACACUUGCCACCACCCUCUAGAGAUUCUCAGCCAACUUGGAUGGAUCAGCUUCUUCCAGUCUAACAGGAUGGUUGACAAGAGCCAGCCGGCUCCUGGGCCAGCCUCAGCCUUCCUUGAUGGCAACAUGCACAAGACUAAAUCCCUGAUGGCCUCGCUGGAGAUCGACUACCAAGUUUCAGAUAAAGCAAGAAAGGACAUUGAUUUUCUUCUUGCCUCUCCAGGAAGUAAAACCUCAGCUUUUGAACAAGGAAAUUAGGUGGAGUACACACAGUAGAGACUGACGUUGGUGAUUGUAUAUUCAGCACCAUUUCUGAAAGGUGACUUUCUUUGAAUUAAUUCUGGAUAAUAUGCAGGAACAGGAGCAAGAAUAGGAGGAAGUAUAUUACAGGCACAGAUGUGUUGGAUACGAAAGCAGAAGACAUCCUGGAACCAUCAUCAGCAUCAUAUCAGGGUUAAGUAAAUGUAGUCAAACCUAAAUUCUGCUUAGAGCAUUUGAAGCUCAUGAUCGAAAUACAUAAGGGAAGCAACUUUGAUAAAAUCGAUUCUGGUCCACAAACAAUUUAGUGGUCAUGGUGGUGGUGUCAGCCAUUCAAGUUUUAUGCUAAACAUCUAUUUGAAGACAAGCAGGACUUAAAACUCCAACUAUUUAAUAUUUUAAAAAGGGCUGAAAAAUGCAAUAAACUGCCAUAGUCAAGAGCAUUAAUAGUCUCUUCUAAAUUGUUUUCAGGCAGGUUUCUGUGUGAAGCAAAUAUAAUUUGAAUGCGAAAGGCAAGUCUUUACUUUUGUCUAAGUAAUCUUAUUUAUGCAAUUGUACUUAUGUGUAUAACAGAAAUAUUUUGGAGAGUUUAGGUAUACUUCAAUGAAGCCCUAUUAAGAACUGCAUUUUCCUAAGUUUGAAAAAAUUUUCCAAAUGUCAUAUGUAAUUUAUGUAAAUGAACACUGAGCCUAAGUGCAACACCAAACAAUCUGUUUACCCAACAGUUUCUUUGUAAAUGUGGCAAUUACAGAUUAGUCACCAAAAGUUGAAUUACCUGAUUAAGGAUUUGGAAGACAAAGUCUCAACUUUUCUCUAUCUAUACAUGCACCUCUCCUAUAAUGAAAAUAGAAGCAUGGUUUUGACAAACAAUAACAUUUUUGAGAUUUUUAUAACCAAAUAUUACAUUUCAAUGUAAAAUAUUGGUAAAAAAGAAAUAGUAGUUUUAUAUAUUUAGCCUAUAUUCUCCAAAGGUCAUGGCUAUAGACUGAAUAUUUGCAUUCUCCUAAAAUUCAUAUGUUGCAAUCCUGUCCCCGAGGGUGAUUGUAUAAGGAGGAGAGGGGCCUUUGAGAGGUGAUUAGGUCAUGAGGGCGGAACCCCCUUGAAUGGGAUUAGUGCAAUUAUCAAAGAGAUCCCUGAGUGCUCCCUUGCCCCCUCCCUUCUACACUGUGAGGACCAGUGAGAAGCCACCCCACCAUCUGAUAACCAGAAAGUGGGCUGUCCCCAGACAUGGAAUCUGCUGGCACCUUCAUCUUGGACUUCUAGCCUCCAGAACUGUGAAAAAUAAAUUUCUGUUGUUUAUAAGCUA